GCUGGGCACUCCUAGGGAGGCAGCAGUGGGGAAUAUUGCACAAUGGGCGCAAGCCUGAUGCAGCCAUGCCGCGUGUAUGAAGAAGGCCUUCGGGUUGUAAAGUACUUUCAGCAGUGAGGAAGGUGGGUAUGUUAAUAGCAUACUCAUUUGACGUUAGCUGCAGAAGAAGCACCGGCUAACUCCGUGCCAGCAGCCGCGGUAAUACGGAGGGUGCGAGCGUUAAUCGGAAUUACUGGGCGUAAAGCGCAUGCAGGUGGUUUGUUAAGUCAGAUGUGAAAGCCCGGGGCUCAACCUCGGAAUUGCAUUUGAAACUGGCAAACUAGAGUACUGUAGAGGGGGUAGAAUUUCAGGUGUAGCGGUGAAAUGCGUAGAGAUCUGAAGGAAUACCGGUGGCGAAGGCGGCCCCCUGGACAGAUACUGACACUCAGAUGCGAAAGCGUGGGGAGCAAACAGGAUUAGAUACCCUGGUAG
rnacentral:rRNA from 1 species